CCUACGGGGGGCAGCAGUGGGGAAUUUUGCGCAAUGGGGGCAACCCUGACGCAGCAACGCCGCGUGAGUGAUGAAGGCCUUCGGGUCGUAAAGCUCUGUCAGAGGGGAAGAAAUGCAGGUGGUGAACAACCAUUCUGUUUGACGGUACCCUCAAAGGAAGCACCGGCUAACUCCGUGCCAGCAGCCGCGGUAAUACGGAGGGUGCGAGCGUUGUUCGGAAUUAUUGGGCGUAAAGCGCGUGUAGGCGGUUUGUUAAGUCUGAUGUGAAAGCCCCGGGCUCAACCUGGGAAGUGCAUUGGAUACUGGCAGACUUGAGUACGGGAGAGGAGAGUGAAAUUCCCAGUGUAGGAGUGAAAUCCGUAGAUAUUGGGAGGAACACCGGUGGCGAAGGCGGCUCUCUGGGGUCAACCUGACGCUGAGGUGCGAAAGCGUGGGGAGCGAACCGGAUUAGAUACCCGGGUAGU
rnacentral:rRNA from 1 species